GAUGAACGCUAGCUACAGGCUUAACACAUGCAAGGUCGAGGGCAGCAGGGAUUUAGCUUGCUAAAUUCGCUGGCAACCGGCGCACGGGUGAGUAACGCGUAUCCAACCUGCCCCUCUCUUUGGCAUAGCCUUUCGAAAGAGAGAUUAAUUCCGAAUAACGUAGUAACGUUGCCUGAUGAUACUACGAAAGCUCCGGCGGAGAGGGAUGGGGAUGCGUUCCAUUAGGUAGUAGGCGGGGUAACGGCCCACCUAGCCUACGAUGGAUAGGGGUUCUGAGAGGAAGGUCCCCCACAUUGGAACUGAGACACGGUCCAAACUCCUACGGGAGGCAGCAGUGGGGAAUAUUGGGCAAUGGGCGAAAGCCUGACCCAGCGACGCCGCGUGAGGGAAGAAGGUCUUCGGAUUGUAAACCUUUGUUGACAGGGAAGAAGAGAUGACGGUACCUGUCGAGGAAGCCACGGCUAACUACGUG
rnacentral:rRNA from 1 species